CCUUUGUACACACCGCCUGUCGCUACUACCGAUUGAAUGGUUUAGUGAGCCUUUGGGAUUGGCGUUUGGGAGCUGGCAACAGCACCUGAUUGCUGAAAACUUAUGCAAACUUGAUCAUUUAGAGG
rnacentral:rRNA from 1 species